rnacentral:rRNA from 1 species
CUUGCAGGGUACUCGAGUGGCGAACGGGUGAGUAACACGUGAGUAACCUGCCCUUGACUUUGGGAUAACUUCAGGAAACUGGGGCUAAUACCGGAUAGGAGCUCCUGCUGCAUGGUGGGGGUUGGAAAGUUUCGGCGGUUGGGGAUGGACUCGCGGCUUAUCAGCUUGUUGGUGGGGUAGUGGCUUACCAAGGCUUUGACGGGUAGCCGGCCUGAGAGGGUGACCGGCCACAUUGGGACUGAGGUACGGCCCAG